UCCAAAAUCUGCCACAGACCUUUUCUGCUCAUAGUAUCGAAAGCCUUUGUAAGAUCAACAAAGGUUACAUAGAGACCUUUAUUCUGUUCCCUACACUUCUCUUGCAGUUGUCUGAGAACAAAUACCAUGUCUGCAGUACUCCUGUUGAUCACAGUUUGCUUAAUCAUAAGGAACCUCAGAGGGGAACUUUGGUCACAGUGUUUCCCUCUGAGGGGAUCCAUCAGUAUGUGCCUUUGCCUCUGUGAUGUUUUUGCAGUGGCCGUCCAUAUUCCCAGAGGAGCAGAACCACAGGCCGAGGAGCCAAGCAACAAGUGCCAUCCCAGUAGGCUUUGGAAAGAGAUGAGCGUUGCAGGUGAGUCGGGGAGGUAGCAAGGAGAAGCAGGGCUCCAGGCAACUUUCAGAAAUGCCACCGAACUUCUUUCCCUAUCCUAGGUAUUGCAUGCAAUGAGUCCCUUGUGGGUCAUGGAGGUUUUUUCUUGGAGCUGCUGAGCCCUGGCUCUGCUGCUGAGUGGGAUUUGCCAUGGAUGCUGCCUUGGUAAAAAGUCAGGAGACACUGGGGAGAGAAAAGAAGGCAUAGUGAACUCUCCACACCAGGGAACUGGAAGAUCUCCCCAAAAUUCCUUUGGUACACACUGGAGGGCCAACGAUUCCUCUGGUCUGCCGUGUCGGCGCUGCUUUUUCACAUCUGG